AAAAAUACAUUAAGAUUUAAGCAUCUAUCUUAAAAUGUACAUCUAUCUUAAAAUGGUAGUAAAUUAUAUAAAAAUGGAAAUACCACAUUAAACAAAAAAAAAUGUAUAGUUUUACAUCAAGAAAGUUCCUAUAAAACUCAUUAUUCCAUCAACAUCAACCUCACACUAUCAAGGAAAGCUUCAAAUCACUCGAGCAAAAAAAUGGUUCCACUAUC
rnacentral:lncRNA from 1 species